rnacentral:rRNA from 1 species
AGAGUUUGAUCCUGGCUCAGAUUGAACGCUGGCGGCGUGCCUAACACAUGCAAGUCGAGCGGUAACAGGUGUAGCAAUACAUGCUGACGAGCGGCGAACGGGUGAGUAAUGCUUCGGAAUCUGCCCAAUGGUGGGGAAUAACCAGCCGAAAGGUUGGCUAAUACCGCAUAAGUCCUACGGGAGAAAGCAGGGGAUCGUAAGACCUUGCGCCGAUGGAUGAGCCGAAGUCGGAUUAGCUAGUUGGUAGGGUAACGGCCUACCAAGGCGACGAUCCGUAGCUGGUCUGAGAGGACGACCAGCCACACUGGGACUGAGACACGGCCCAGACUCCUACGGGAGGCAGCAGUGGGGAAUAUUGGACAAUGGGGGAAACCCUGAUCCAGCGACGCCGCGUGUGUGAAGAAGGCCUGCGGGUUGUAAAGCACUUUUAGUGGGGAUGAAAAGCUCAGGGAUAACACUUCUGGGUCUUGACCUAACCCACAGAAAAAGCACCGGCUAACUCUGUGCCAGCAGCUGCGGUAAUACAGAGGGUGCAAGCGUUAAUCGGAAUUACUGGGCGUAAAGCGUGCGUAGACGGUUAUGUAAGUCGGGUGUGAAAGCUCUGGGCUCAACUUGGGAAUGCCAUUCGAGACUGCAUAGCUAGGGUGCGGAAGAGGGAAGCGGAAUUUCUGGUGUAGCGGUGAAAUGCGUAGAUAUCGGAAGGAACAUCAGUGGCGAAAGCGGCUUCCUGGUCUAGCAUCGACGUUCAGGCACGAAAGCGUGGGGAGCAAACAGGAUUAGAUACUCUGGUAGUCUACGCCAUAAACGAUGAGAACUAGACGUUGAGAGGGUAAGUCUCGCAGUGUCGUAGCUAACGCGCUAAGUUCUCUCGCCUGGGGAGUACGGCCGCAAGGUUGAAACUCAAAGGAAUUG